rnacentral:tRNA from 1 species
GGGGCCAUAGCUCAGAUGGGAGAGCGCUUGAAUGGCAUUCAAGAGGUCGGGAGUUCGAUCCUCCCUGGCUCCACCA